ACCGGCAGAGCAAGAAGCAAUGCUGAUGAGGAGGAGGACGCCAUGGAUGUGUUGUAGAGGCUAGGCUCUGAUUACUAUGUAAAGAUUAUAUGUGUUUUGGUCAAAGCGUCGGCCCCUAACUUGGGUGCUCAACGUGUGCGUGUUGAUGUGCGUGGAACAGCCCCACGUGUGGCUUUUAUACAGCAGCUACUGUUGGAGGUAUGCCCUAGAGGCAAUCAUAGAGAUGAUGGUAUUCCAUUUGUAUCCAUGAUUUAUAUUGUGUUCCUUGAAUAUCCAUUAAAGGCUACUUGAAUUGAUUUGCAAUUAUGUGAAUUGUGUGUGAAACUCUUUACUUGUAUGGUUAUUCUAAAGUUGUCCCUAGUCGGAGUUCAUGUGAGG
rnacentral:lncRNA from 1 species